CUGUUCCACCUCACACUUACCUGAAAAGGCGAGAUUGUAUAUAUACAUCCACUAAGCAAUCAUUGCCCCAAGGUUAAUGACGUCUUAUUUAGUACCCCAUACCACAGUUUGUCAAAUAACAUCUGCAGUCUCUUCAUUCUAACAUGGAUACCAAUUCCAUUCAUAUUUUUUAAUUCAGACAAAUGAGGGAGACAUCAAUGGAAGGUCUAAUAAGUUUAACCAAGAAAACUACCCCAUCUAAUUACCAUUAUAUUUGUGAAAAGAAUGGUGGCUCAUUGUCUGACAAGAUGGAUGAACUUGCUUGCUUUGCUCCUGGUAUGCUGGCAUUAGGAGCCUCUGGUUAUGGUCUGGAAAAAUCUGAGCAAAUUAUGAAUCUUGAAAAAGAGCUUGCUAGGGCCUGCUAUAAUUUCUACCAAACCACUCCCACGAAGUUGUCUGGCGAGAACUAUUUUUCCCAUGCUGGACAGGUAGUAUGGCAACCUGCAUUUUUCCUUUUGCCACAUCGGUGUUCAUUAUAGCACCUGAAGAAUCCCUGGAUUUUGAACUGCACCACAACGGUUGCUCUAUUAUCCAUCUUCUCCUUUUGCCACCAUUAGUGUUCAUUAUAGCUGUUCUCUGUACAUCCAAUGCGGCCAGCUAAUCCCUUUAUUUUCGCUGUUCUCUUAGUAUUGUAAAAUAUGUUACAGAUAAAACUACCUUAGAAUGAUUCUGUACUUCAUGCUUAAUUUCUUAUGUACUAUACUCUUCCAAUUCUCUUUGCACAUGACAUGUCUCCUACCAUCGUUACCUGCUUGACCUCUUAAA